AGUUGUAAGGGUGAUCAGGCUACAACAUCUGUCACCCCAUUGAUUACCAAGGCUUAUUUGGCUGGUCUGGCUGGCUGGAUGGGUAUUCCCUUCCUUCCUCACUGCUCCAUGUGUGUCCCUCCUGAAACUGUGUGGUUGGUAGAGAAAGAUAUUCUCUGAUAGGGGAGGAUUACUCCUCAGACAAGUGUCUAUGAGUAGCUGCUCUUCCCUGCUAGAACCUCCAAAGAAGCUCUCUCUGUCAAAAAAAAAAAAAAAAAGCCCACAUUAUGUACAGGUAAAUGAAGGAUGACUAUCAACUUAUCCU
rnacentral:snRNA from 1 species